UUUCACCAUGCAUGUGUGCAUUUUAACCAUAGUCUCUUGACCACUGUGAAAAAGCUUUUCCCUCUCUUGAUGGGUUCCAGGCCCUGGAAAGAGUUUUUCAAGAAAGACUACAGUAACUUGGUGCUCUGAGAUUAUACUGUGGGGCAGUGAGUUAGUCUGCCCCUGUGGUCCCCUGUGGAACUUUUAGGGCUCCCUGGGCCACUGUUUAGAAACCAACUACAUGGUUUUGGUUCCCUGGGGAGUGCAGACAUCUGACCUUGAUGCGGAAGUAUGCGCUUACAGCAGCAGUUCUCAACCUGUUUUUGUGACCCCCCUGUCGUGGUCGAAUGAAUCUCUCACGGGGGUCGCCUCAGACCAUCAGAAAACACAGAUAUUCCCAUAGCAAAUUUUACUGUUAUGAAGUAACAACACAGUAAUUUUAUUGUCAGUCGUCACUGCAACAUAAGGAACUGUUUUAAGGGCCCCAACAUCACGAAGGCUGAGAACCACUGACUUAUGGGAAGGAGACCCAGUGGCCAUCAGCUUUGUUGAUUAUCUACUGAAUUUAACCUGCUGUGUGGCUGCCUCUUUAGCUGCCAUAGUCCCCUCUAUUAAUAGUCUCUGCCUCAAUCUCCACCCAUCAAAAUAAACCCCAUCCUCCCAACACUGUGCCACCACUGUCCUGACGAGCCCACCCCUAUAAUUCAUAGUACAAGUCGGGACACUUGGUGGGGUCAAAGGGACCGCUGAAGGGAGAGCAGGCACAGACUUGGGGUCUGUCCCUGGCAAAUGAGGGCAUCUGUAGCUGUUUCUGACUGGUCCUCGGCCGUCUCUGUUCACCAGUGAUCUUUCCCUUCUGCUGAAUUUGUUCGAACCUCUGCACAUCUCAUUGCUCCUGGUAAUUUGAGUGCAAGCAAACUGUCAAUGUCAAUGUUCUCUUAAAGUCUGAAUUCCUAGAAAGCAGAUGCGUUCCACUCUCCUGUUUGUCUUUUCUGAAGCACUUGGCACAGCACUAUGCCUGGAGUAAACACUGAUGGGGGCGGAAAAAGAGAAGUCAGCAGGGUGCCAACAUCGAUAUGUCCUGGUAAAUACCUUACAGAAAGGCAGCUAUCACCCCAUCGAGCAUCUAGUAACUGUCUCUUUUUUAAAAAAAAUAUACUUUCAUAGGGUCCUGGGCAUGUGACUUAGCAUCUAGGCCUCUCCGUUUCUUCUUUUCAAAGGUGAGGAAAAUUGAGCUGUAGAGAUGCCAUACAAGGGUGAGGGCUGGAGUGCGCUCUCUAGCACCCACAUAAAAAAAACAGUUGUGACUGACUGUAUGUGUGUGUCACACCACCACCACUGGGAAAAUGCAGACAGAAGGAUCCCAGGACUUACAGUCCUGAUAACCUAGCUAACUGGUAAGUUCUAGGUCCAUCGAGAGACUCUCCCAGGCAGAGAAUGCUCGAGGAAAACACCUGAGCAUGUGUGCACCCUGUGCAUUUGUCACUUUCCUGUCCCGGGAGUAAAACGCCAUAACCAGGACAAAAUAGAGAAGAAAGGUUUUAUCUGUGCUGACGGUUCCAGAGGUUUCGAGCCCACAAUGGCAGAGUGGAGGCGGCAGACAGGAGUCUUUAAACUUUCAAAGCUCCCCUAACCCCCAACUCCAGUGUCCUACUUCCUCCAGCAAAGCCACACUUUCUAAACACACCGGAACAGCGCCACCAACUGGUGACUGAGCUUUCAAAUGCCGAGACGGUGAGGGACAUUCUCAUUCAAAGCACAGACUGAUGGGAAGAUUCUGCACUUUGAUGCUGAGGACUUUCUAGGGAUGUGGUUGGCCAAGGGAAAUGACGUGUACAGAGGCGCUUUGGAAUAGUCUAUGUGACAGCCCGUCUGUAGGUACAAGGCAACAGUAUCGUUUCAAUGUGUGUUUCUGAAAGCAACAGCAGCUGAGUGCUCAGGGGCCCUUUUCGGCUGAUGAAUUUGGAGUUUAGAUUUUAAGUCUCUUUCCCUACAGUUCUGAUUUUGGCUUAAGUAACUGUGGUCGAGGGAGGGUUCGAGAGUAAGCAGCACAUGCACUGUUUGAGCAAGUCACUUUGUUUCUCUGAGUGUUUCCCUUUUUGCCAAGUGAAGUCACACCUGUGGUCCAUCCCAGGGCAUGGAAUGGGGCUCAGGUUGAAUGCAUUUGAGAAACCUUUCUGAAGUAAAUAGGGUCAUGAAGCUAGGGAUGACCUCAGUAUGCUUUUUUGUUCUGUGACCUCAUGGUUGUUGGUAUCUUAUUUUUCAUCCCUUUAGCCUUUUGAAUAUAUAUGACUACCCAUUCUUCUGCAUAUAAGUACUAUUAUUUGUUUAGAGUUAUCGCAACAGAUAUUCCAAGACAUUUUUUCUAUGUAUGCUAAUGCUUAAAUCUCUGAUAUAUUUGUUUAUUUUUCUAUCUUCACAAAAAAGAGCUAUCCCAACUUAAUUUCUUCCAUUUACACAAGUUCUGAGGCAGGAUAAUGUUCUCCGUCUACCCCUGGAGGAUAGCAGCUUGUAUAUCCAGACAACCGAAUGUACUCAGGCAUAACCGGCAUGAAGGGCCUUAGACAUGUUGCUAUAUUUUAGUAAAAUGCUUCUGUGUCCUAAAAUCCCAGCUCUAGGCAUGGUGCCUGGCUGCCCCUAGAUGCCUGGAGCAAGGUCAGAAAAGCUCCCCCAGAGCAGUGGUCACCAGAAGCAAGUGGUGAGUGAUGGUGUCAUUGGCCAAGAGUGACAGCGUCUGGCUCAUUCCACAUCAAGCUCUGUUCGAAUGCAACUUGGCCUUGUCUUUCAAUGAGGGCAAUACCGUCUCAGAGGUUAUUGGAAUUUUCUCACUCUUCCCUGCGGUUGUAUUGUCAGUGGCUAUGAGAUGUGUCCCUUCUGGAGAAAUUAAUAGGAAAUUGCUUCCUCGCUAGAGGAGCCCUGAUACAGGAUCGUCCGCACUCAGCAUCCAUCCCAAGGCUGUUUCUAUCUGACUCAUAGAUAAUCCAUACAUUCUCCCUUCUUCAUCUGUCUCUCGGGUUCACAUGGCCAACAUGCCAUUCCUGUCAAAAGUGCUUCUGGCAUGCUGUUACAAAGCUCCGAGGACCCCCUGGGUUACAGAAUUCACCAGUGAAGUUGUAGCGAAGAUGCCGGUCUUUUCUCUGUAAACAAGAUUUAUUUUAGGGCAUCUCUAAAGCUUUUUGUCUUAUUCCAUGCCAAGUCAAGAGAACGCCCUUUGGGGACAGUGAAAUAUGCCCCAGCACGUUUCUCCUGAGCUCAUGUUUAUAUUUCUGCGUGAAAGAGUCCCCCUUAGCCAGCUAAGAAUUUAUGUAGCAAAGGUUGCAAUUCCUCAAGUCCCUUGUAAAGUCAUUAUGGUUGAUACGACCUCUGGGACAAUGCACAUCUUGAAGUGCUGCAGGAUACAAGCCUGGGCUUGUGCGGGUCUUGAUCAGUGUGGAGCUCUAUGUAGGACUAAUUGCUGCUGUGCAUGUGUGCUGUUCCUUUUGCAUCUUUAUUGCGAAAUUGUCUAAUCAACGUAUAGCCUUCAAAGACGUCAUUUUCCUUACACGAUAGAGAUGUCUUCUGUUAGUCGUGACUCUAAUUAGUCAUUAGGAGAGUUGAGCCUUUGUCUUUUAUUUAAAUUUCAAAUGAACAUGUUGCGUAGUGUGCGUCUGCACAGGAGCGUAUGCAUGGGUGUGUGGAGGUCAGAGACUGGUGUCCGAUGUCUUACUCGGCUGCUCUCUACCUCAUCUUUGGUUGAUACCGAAAGAUCUUCCAGUGAGCCCAGUGCUCACCAGUUGGCCUGACUGACUGGUCAGCAAGGGUUGUGGAUCUGCUUCUCCUUACUCCUUUAUUCCUAGGCCCCGUGUUAGGGUUCUAGACAUGUGCAAUAGUACCCAGCAUUUUAGGGUAGAUCCCUGGGAUCCAAACUCAGAUCCCACACGUGGAUGGCAGGCCAUUUAUGAUCCAGUUGCCCUCCAAGCUCUGGGUGGUGGUUGUUGUUGUUGUUGUCAUUGUUACUUGGUUGGUUUUUAAUUUUUCAUUUACUUAUUUGACUAUUUAAUACUGAAAGAUUUAAGCACUCUGGCAAACUUUCUUUUUAGAAUGUAUUCAUGACUUUAACGCAAUUUCAAUCAAAGACACAAAAUUAGUUCCCUACGAUUUUGUUGACCGAGCCUUUAUUAUCCGCACGCAGCUCUUCCCAAGCUGCCGUCAGCAGAAUGGUUAUUGAUUUCAUAGUAUUGGGCAUCUGUUACAGAACAGAGUGAUUGGCUAAAUUCUGGGUGUGACAGUUGGUACUGAGUGUCAACUUGACAAGAUCUAGAAUCACACAGGAGACAAACAUAUCUAUGAGAGGUUAUUUAGCUCAGAUUAACCUCUGGGCGUGCCUAGGAGGGGUUGUUUGAUUGGGUGACUGAGGUGGCACUGAUCCCUGGCCUGUGUACAGAAGAGGAAGCUAGGAGGCCAGAAAAGGGCGUGUAUGGGUUCCAGUGGAAUUGCAGUUACAGGUGGUUGUGAGUGACACAAUGUAGGUGGGUGCUGGGAACUGAACUCGGGUCCUCUGCAAAAAGCAAUACAUACUUUUAACUAUGGUACUAUGCCUGUUUUCCCUGGGUCGUGGCAUUUUAUCAUAGCAGUAGAAAUGAAGCUAGAAUAAAGUUGCCGAGAAAAUAUUAAGUCCUUCCUAAUCCUAUUGGUUCUGAUUAUUUUGUUAAACAAGGAAAGUGUGUUCAUUAUUAAAAUUUAGAGAAGAUGGACAAGCAGCUUGAAUAAUGAGCACUUGUAAUCCCCAACUCUGACUCUCUAACCAGAUUAAUUUUGACCUUCUUCUG
rnacentral:lncRNA from 1 species